GCGGGCUUGGCAUAUCGGCCUUGUGCAAUAGCCUUCCAAGCUGUCCAGGCGGGUUCGAUUCCCGCAGCCCGCU
rnacentral:tRNA from 1 species